UCUUAACUUUGUCAAAGCCAAGACAAUUCUCUGAACAGAAAGUGCUUAGUGAUAGAAUGGCAGUCAAAUUCUUUUUUUGUCUGGUUUGCGUUCUUUUCCUUGUGGUGAUAUCUUCACCCGAAUCUGACGCCUUUGCCAAUGGGGGAACUAAAGGUUCUCCUUCUGAGAAUCGUGGGGGAGGCUUUUUAAACCAUAAUGACGAGAAGGACGACGCUAGAAAUGUCCUCGUUAAACGCCGUGUGUGUGACGUGGCAAGAAGAAUGGGUUGUUGAAACAGGAUUUCAGAAGCAGCCGAAUCAGAGACUUAUUCAUCUACUAGAGUUUCUAGUGCGUUAUGGCGCAAAAAAUGUGAAGUAAUGAAAAAUUUAUCUUGAUGAAAAAUACAGGUUGACGUGAGAAUUACAAAUUAAAGAAAAAUGCUGAAAA